UGGGGAAUUUUGCACAAUGGGGGAAACCCUGAUGCAGCGACGCCGCGUGAUUUAGAAGGCCUUCGGGUUGUAAAAAUCUUUUUUACGGGAUGAAAAUGACAGUACCGUAAGAAUAAGGUCCGGCUAAAUACGUGCCAGCAGCCGCGGUAAUACGUAUGGACCGAGCGUUGUCCGGAAUCAUUGCGCGUAAAGGGUACGUAGGCGGCCUAGUAAGUUAGAAGUGAAAUAAUAUAGCUCAACUAUAUAAAGCUUUUAAAACUGCUAGGCUUGAGAGAUGGAAGGGAAAGUGGAAUUCCUAGUGUAGCGGUGAAAUGCGCAGAUAUUAGGAAGAAUACCGGUGGCGAAGGCGACUUUCUGGUCAUCAUCUGACGCUGAGGUACGAAAGCGUGGGUAGCAAACAGG
rnacentral:rRNA from 1 species